rnacentral:rRNA from 1 species
ACGGAGGGUGCAAGCGUUAUCCGGAAUCAUUGGGUUUAAAGGGUCCGCAGGCGGGCUUAUAAGUCAGUGGUGAAAGCCUACAGCUUAACUGUAGAACUGCCAUUGAUACUGUAAGUCUUGAAUUUAGUCGAAGUAGGCGGAAUAUGACAUGUAGCGGUGAAAUGCUUAGAUAUGUCAUAGAACACCGAUAGCGAAGGCAGCUUACUAGGCUUGAAUUGACGCUCAUGGACGAAAGCGUGGGGAGCAAACAGG